rnacentral:rRNA from 1 species
UACGUAGGGUGCGAGCGUUACUCGGAAUUACUGGGCGUAAAGCGUGCGCAGGCGGUUUUGUAAGCCAGAUGUGAAAGCCCCGGGCUCAACCUGGGAAUGGCAUUUGGGACUGCAAGGCUGGAGUUUGGCAGAGGAGACUGGAAUUCCUGGUGUAGCAGUGAAAUGCGUAGAUAUCAGGAGGAAUACCGAUGGCGAAGGCAGGUCUAUGGGCUAUAACUGACGCUCAUGCACGAAAGCGUGGGGAGCAAACAGG